UUUACAAUAUUUUUAUGAAUUAAAUUUAUUAUAUUAGGUACUAGAAUUUAAAAAGUUAAAUAAUGUUUUAUUUUUGUAAUAAAAUGUUAUCGCUAAAUGUUUCAACUAUUUAAUUUUUUUUUAUUUUAUUUACGGAUCAAAUCGGAUAUUCUUCAAAAUUCUAAAAUAUUUCGGAUAUCCGAGUCACCGAAUAUCUAGGUGGCUAAAGAUCAAAUCGAUACAAAUGCUUCUAAAUACCCAGAUAUUCGAUAUGUGCCCACCCCUAUUUACAAAUACAAUUUUAUUUUCUUUAUAUGAAAAAAUUACUAAUGUCAAGGUCUUUUUAUUUUAAAUUAAUUUUAAUUUUUUUUUCAUGUAUUAUUUUGAAAAAAAUGUCAUUUAAUAUUAAUUAACAAUAUCUUUAUAUAUUUCUCAACUAUUUUUAUAUAUUUUUUACAUACACAUACAUAUGCACCUUGAUGUGAACACUCUGUAUCUAAGUAUUUACCACAACUGAAGAAUCUAAUUUUUUGAAAGUUGAAAUAUUUUUCUUAAUGCUUCUUUCACAACAGACCAAAUUGUAGUGAAAUGAUUUGUCUUAAUAAUUUUCUUUUAUUUUUCUUAAACUAUUAUCUGUUUUGAAACUAUUGGUUCGAUAUGACGAAUAUUUAAAAUUUAUAACAUGAAAAUAAACAAAUAAUAUUAAUUUCUGGUUUUUAUCAAUAGAUUAAAAACCAAAAAAAAAACUUAAAACCGAACUAAUAUCCAGACUAAACAGAUUUAAUGUAUUUUUAUUAAAAAUAACGAAACUAAUAAUCACAUUCCGCGCAAAGCGCGGGUUAUUACCUAGUCUUUAAAGUAAAAUGAAAGUUAAUUCUUUAAUAAAUGCAUAGUGGUUUGAGAUAUUGGGCGUUGAAAGUUAAUUCUUUAUGUCAAUGUAAACAAACCCGUUGAGGAAAGUAGUUCUGCAGAUGCUUAUGCUCUCUUCUUUCUGAAGAUCCUAUAUUAAGAUUAAAGACAAACGUAAUAUUCAACUUGUUCAUGACCACUUGUUCAUAAAGACAUUAUUAUAGUGCGGACCCCAAUUCUGCUUCAGAAAAAUGAUGAACGUCUCUAUCGAAAUAAGUUUUCAAGGAUACAAACAGUUGUUCUCUCUGGUCAAAUACUUAAUGCUGUAAGUUUUUUGUUUUUUGUUUUCCGAUCGGAACAAUUGUUGUAUAUACAGACACUGCAGUUGGCAGGGGCAUUUAGUCCCACAACCCUCUUUCAGUAUCCAAGCCAUGUGGAUCAACAUAUAUCAAGAGUUAACUGUAUAAAUAAUAGUGUUUUGUCAAAGUUCUAUUUAACUACAAUGUUGAUUUUCUAAAAGGGCAUUUUACAAUAUAACUACAUUUUUGAUGAAUUUUGUAGAACAAUAUAUUUCUGGGCUUCAGGUUUUGUCAAAGUUCUAUUUAACUACAAUGUUGAUUUUCUAAAAGGGCAUUUUACAAUAUAACUACAUUUUUGAUGAAUUUUGUAGAACAAUAUAUUUCUGGGCUUCAGGUUUUUGAGCUUGGUCAUUGGGCACAUGUAGCAAUAUAUUUCUUAUUACAGCAAUUUUUUUUUUUGGUUAAAUAUUACAGCAAUUUUGACUUCUGAGUAUAGCUUAUUUCAACAGCACACAAACUACUAAGCAAACGGUUUUGAUCCUUUUGCAAAUAAUAAACAUACAGAUUUAAAUUCAUAUUAAUUAUCCAAAAGAAAAAAAAAAACAAUAACACAAGAAAUAAGAUACUUGAUGGAGAGUGUUUUUUAUUUAUAUCUUUACCCUCUCAAAAUCAGACCAGAUUAUUGAUAUGUUUCCUCGGCUUCCGACUUAAAACCAAUUGGCAAUUAGUAGAUUGGUCCAAGUCCCUUAUAUGUUACUCAAGUCUCUUUCAUAUUCAAUGUGGGAUUUUCUCUCCAAUACCCUCUCUUGAGAUAAUGGUGCAUAUAACCAUUAAUCUCGCAGAAUCUAUCAUACCCCUUCUGAAAUCAUGCUUUAUUUUCUAGCGAUCUCGGUGGAACUGAACCUUCUAUGUACCAUCAGCAAAUGGGAUGAUCGGGCCAAUGUCCGGGUCGGAUUAAUGGGUCAGGGUAUUGGGCCCGCUCUAAUACCAUGAUAAGUUUUAUGGACUUCCAACUUAAAACCAAUUGGUAAUUAGUAGAUUUUUCCUUUCAUAUUUCUGAUGCGGUAUUUCUCUCCAAUAAUUAUAAACCCUGAAGAAAAAAGGAACAGCUUCACAACAUUCAAAUGGAGGCACACGUUAACAUGUCAUCUAGUAUGUAUCAGCCUUCAUAGAGCCCAUUUACGAUAUUUGUCACCUAGUAUGUCUUGGGCCUAAGCUUGUUUAGUGUUUCUUGCAUAUAACGUCACAAUUGAGGAAAAGAAGGAAGCCGAAGUCUAGAGGCACGUUUAGGGUUUGUUUCAUCUUAAAGCUUUGAAGCGAUCCCAUCUAGGGUUUAUAAAAUCUGCCAUGGAAAGUUUGGAGCAGUUCUUGAAGUGUAUAACAUUAGGCAUACCCAGACAUGAAACACAAACGUCAAACUCGGUAAGAGAACUCUCAGACCCAAUCCCAGUUGAUCUACUUAUCGACAUAUUCUCUCGAGUCCCCUUAAAGUCUAUUGAUAGGUUCCUUUGCGUAUCGAAAUUCUUGGCAUCCAUACUUCGCGUAGUCAUGAUUUCACUGAGUUGUUUUUGACUACUUCUUUGACUCGUCCACGUCUACUUUUCACAAUAAAAGAUAAGCACAAGUUGUUCUUCUACUCUUCACCUCAGCCUCAUAAUCCAUGCGAGAACUCUUCUCUUGUAGCCACCCCUUACCGUUGUACGAUCGUUCCCAAGUAUCGUUCAACUUAUAUGUCUAAACCAGUAUGUGGAUUGGUCUUGCUUCAGGGAUGUGGUAGUAGACAAUGGCCGCUGAUUUGUAACCUUGCCAAAGGAAAAGUCCUAACCUUUCCUAAAAUUCUUAGAAAAGAAGAAGAUUAUGCUAAGGAAAUAUACUUAGGCUAUGAUCCUAUCGGCAAACAGUUCAAAGUGUUGUAUUUGAGUAUGAACUACUCUAGACCCAAUACUAAUUGGAUUUUGACAUUGGAGUAUGGGAAACGUUUUUGGAGAAGGAUCGAUACCCAACUUCAACCUUAGGGAGAAUAGUAGACUAGAUGGUGAUAUAUGCAUAAAUGGUGUUUUGUAUUUCAAGAGGUGGUUCAAAGGGUCUUUUGUAAUAGUUAGCUUUGAUGUUAGGUCAGAAAAGGUAAUCUUUAUUUACAAAGAUGAAAACAUGUUACCAAAGCCUUAUCUUUCGUCUAGUUCGUCGGGUUGGACAAAACCUUGUGUUGUGGGUUGUAGAAGAUGCUGGAAAUCAUAAAUGGUCCAAGCAUAGCUAUGUAUUGUCUCCUUUGGAGGAGAAGAUACUCGAGUUUACCAAGUUUGUUGGAAUGACUCGUACUGGUGAAGUUGUCUACUCGUUGGGCACUUGCGUUUUCUUCUACAAUAUAGAGAGGAAAACUUUUAAAAGAGUCAAUAUUCAGGGACUAGAAGGGCUUGAAGACUUUUGUAGACUAUGUGGAGAAUAUGAAGUUUAUGUAACCAAAAGGCUUGCCGUAUACUUGAGACUUUAGCUUGUAACAAAAUCAAAAUCAGGGUACAAUUGUACAAAUGUCGUCUCUAUUAAUGCAUGAGUUUAUUAAUGCCCAUUCAUGUUGCAUAAUGUCGAGACCAUCCUUCUCAGCGCCCAUCCCCCUCCCAAAAAAAACCACUCAAAUCUAAAUCAUAAAUCUGUGAUUAGUUAACUAUAAAAGUAUAAGUAUUUUUACCUUUUUAUUUAAAUUUAUUUUUAUCAUUUAAACAUUUGUGUGUUAUAUUUUUGACAAAAACUUUUUUAGGGAUAUGCUAAUGUAGUACUCAUAUAACAAUCACACAUUAAUUAUACAACUUUUUUGAGUACAAAUCAAAGUUAAAAAUUAUGUAUAUAUGUUAAUUAUUCAUGUUAUUCAAAUAAAAUAUAUGUAAAAGGUAUGAUAAAAUAUGUAUAACAGUGUAUCUAAUAAAUAUUACUAAAAAUAGUAUUUUCAUAAAAAUAUAAAUAUAUUUAUAGACAUAAUUAAUAUAAUUAUAGUUACAUAUAAAGAAAAAGCUAAGAAGAGGUUAUAAUUAUAAAUAAACAUAAAGAAUAAAACAAGAAAUCAUAUUUUAAAUAAGAAAAUUAUACAUAUAGAUUCAAUCAUAUUUGAGUUUAAAAGUUAUUAUAAACUAAUAAAUUUAUUAUUAUUAAAAUCUAGCGGAUAUAAAAUACAGCACAAGUUUUUUUAGAAAUUAUGAAACAUUAAACUAAAUUUUUAUUGAUAAAAGAUUCGAUGAAUUUGGAUAAAGGAUCGCACUUGUCAUCUAGUAUGUCUUGGGCCUAAAGUUGUUUAGGUUUCUUGCAUAUAAAGUCAUACAGAAUCAUAGGGUUAAGCGGAAGUAUAGGUUUUGGUUCGUCUUAAGCUCAGCGAUUCCAUCUGGGGUUUAUAAAGUCCGCCAUGCAUAAAUGGUGUUUUGUAUUUCGAGGGUACGUUGGAAGGGUCUUUUGUGAUAGUUUGGUUUGAUGUUAGGUCAGAGAAGUUUGGUUUUAUUAACAAAGAUGAAAACAUGUUACCAAAGCCUAAUUGAUUAUGAUACUAGUCCUUCAACUUUGUUCAACUACAAAGAUAAAGUAGGUUUACAUCGUCGGGUUGAACAAAACCUUGUGUUGUGGGUACUAGAAGAUGCUGGAAAUCAUAAAUGGUCCAAGCAUAGCUAUGUAUUGUCUCCUUUCGGGUACCACAUAGUUUCGCGUAGUUUGUUUGUUGGAAUGACUAGUACAGGUGAAAUUGUCUACUCAUGGAACUCUUCCGUUUGGUUCUACAAUAUUGAGAAGAACACUGUUAAAGGAGUCAAUAUUCAGGGACUGGAAGAGCUUGAGCAUCUACAUUUAUCAACACCUUUGUAGACUAUGUGGAGAAUAUGAAGUUUUUGUAACUGUAUUCAAAAGGCUUUCCAUGUAUUAUUUACUUGAGAUUAUAUUUUGGAUUUCAACUCUUGUGACAUUUUGUUCCUUUUAGGCUUGUUUGUAUUUUAACUUUAUAAUAGUUUUGUUUUGCUACAAAUUGAGCAUUGAACACAUACUGUUAUGUUUUUUUUCUUAAUCUUCUCCAUCCCUCUCUUCUCUAGAUCUUUAUCUUCUCUCACACGUUAGGCUCGUUAUUGUUUGGUCGGAGUCGGAUUGUUGUUGCCGAAUACUAUUUGAUACUAGAUCAAAAUUCCUCCAUAUGUUCAAGCUAACUUACACAAUCUUCUAGUGAUCCAUUUAAAAUGGGAGCAGAGCAUAUCUUAUUGGACUAACAAACUCUCAGAAGUUUUAAUCGAUAAUAUGCAUCAGAUCGCAAGCACCAGACAUAACCAACCAGAUCAGCUGAAACAAAGUAAUGCUUGCAAUAAUACUACAGAUUUAAACCAAA